UACGGAGGGUGCGAGCGUUGUCCGGAAUCACUGGGCGUAAAGGGCGCGUAGGCGGCUCAUGAAGGCUGUGGUGAAAGUCCGGGGCUCAACCUCGGAUCGGCCGUGGCGACUCGUGGGCUGGAGCACUGUAGAGGCGGGUGGAAUUCCGGGUGUAGUGGUGAAAUGCGUAGAGAUCCGGAGGAACACCAGUGGCGAAGGCGACACGCUGGGCCGUACCUGACGCUAAAGCGCGACAGCAUGGGGAGCAAACGGG
rnacentral:rRNA from 1 species